UACGGGGGGAGCAAGCGUUGUUCGGAUUUACUGGGCGUAAAGGGCGCGUAGGCGGCCACCGCAAGUCGAUUGUGAAAUCUCCGGGCUUAACCCGGAAAGGUCAACCGAUACUGCGGGGCUAGAGUGCAGAAGGGGCAACUGGAAUUCUCGGUGUAGCGGUGAAAUGCGUAGAUAUCGAGAGGAACACCUGCGGCGAAGGCGGGUUGCUGGGCCGGUACUGACACUGAGGAGCGAAAGCGUGGGUAGCAAACAGG
rnacentral:rRNA from 1 species